rnacentral:piRNA from 1 species
AAAGCCUAUGGCAGGGAUAUCGUGGAGG